rnacentral:rRNA from 1 species
AACGAACGCUGGCGGCGUGGCUAAGGCAUGCAAGUCGAACGGAUCUAUCCAACGGGUAACUGAAGGGUAGAUUAGUGGCGAACGGGUGAGGAAUACAUGGACAACGUACCCUGGACACGGGGAUAGCGGCGGGCCGCAAGGCUCUUUAGCGAAAGUGCCGGUAAUACCCGAUGAUCCCGCAUGGUCGCAUGAUCGUGUGGGCAAAGCUCCGACGGUCUGGGGAUCGGUCAUGCCCUAUCAGCUAGUUGGUGAGGUAACGGCUCACCAAGGCGGCGACGGGUACCGGGCGUGAGAGCGUGACCCGGCACAUCGGAACUGAGAUACGGUCCGGACACCUACGGGUGGCUGCAG